rnacentral:rRNA from 1 species
UCGUCCCUGGGUGAGUCGGGUCCUAAGGCGAGGCCGACAGGCGUAGUCGAAUGGAUGAACGGGUCGAUAUUCCCGUACCGGCAUGCAACCGACAAAACCGAAUCCGCGAGUACUAACCUCCGGGUCCGGGCUUACGUCUCCUUCGGGAGCCGGAUGCCCUGGCCUGUUGGGACCGUAACGGUAGUAGGUCAGCGCGGGAGUGACGCAGAAGGGUAGCCGGCCGCGGAGGUGGUCUUCCGUGGUCAAGCACGCAGCCCGUCCCACAGGCAAAUCCGUGGGGCGCGUGGGCGAGGUGCGAUGAUGGGCGCCGCAGGGCGCGAUAUCCGGUGAUCCCGGCUGCCGAGAAAAGCUUCGGCGUGAGGCGGCGUGCCGCCCGUACCCCAAACCGACACUGGUGGUCAGGUAGAGAAUACCAAAGCGAUCGAGCGAAUCCUGGUCAAGGAACUCGGCAAAUCACUCCCGUUCCUUCGGUUUAAGGGAGACCCCCGAUGGUGAAGCGGCUUGCCCGUGGAGCUUUUGGGGGUGGCACAGACCAGGGGGUAGCGACUGUUUACCAAAAACACAGGAGCGUGCGAAGGCGCAAGCCGCUGUAUACGCUCUGACGCCUGCCCGGUGCCGGAAGGUUAAGAGGAUCCGUCAGGCCUCGGCCGAAGCGGUGAAUUCAAGCCCCGGUAAACGGCGGUGGUAACUAUAACCAUCCUAAGGUAGCGAAAUUCCUUGUCGGGUAAGUUCCGACCUGCACGAAUGGCGUAACGACUUCCCCACUGUCUCGACCAGGAGCUCGGCGAAAUUGCAGUACGAGUAAAGAUGCUCGUUAAGCGCAGAAGGACGAAAAGACCCCGGGACCUUUACUAUACCUUGGUAUUGGCAUUCGGUGUGGAUUGUGUAGCAUAGGCGGAAGGCUUCGAAGCCACGGCGCCAGCCGCGGUGGAGCCGCAAGGUGAAAUACCGCUCUGUUCGCAUUGGAUGUCUAACCUCGACCAGUCAUCCUGGUCAGGGACAGUGCCUGGCGGGUAGUUUAACUGGGGCGGUUGCCUCCCAAAGAGUAACGGAGGCGCUCAAAGGUUCCCUCAGCCCGGUUGGCAAUCGGGUGGCGAGUGUAAGUGCACAAGGGAGCUUGACUGCGAGACUGACGGGUCGAGCAGGGACGAAAGUCGGAACUAGUGAUCCGGUGCCGGUGUACGGACGCGGCAUC